rnacentral:snoRNA from 1 species
AUGCAUCUAUCUGACAGGCCCGGGGUCGUUACCAUCUGCUGCUAAGGUUUCCACUGCAGAUGCAAGAAAAAAGUGUCCUCACACUUUCUGUCUCAUUGCGGCAGCCAAGACCGGCUGAGGAAUAAAACU